rnacentral:rRNA from 1 species
GACGAACGCUGGCGGCGUGCUUAACACAUGCAAGUCGAACGGAAAGGCCCUGCUUUUGUGGGGUGCUUGAGUGGCGAACGGGUGAGUAACACGUGAGUAACCUGCCCUUGACUUUGGGAUAACUUCAGGAAACUGGGGCUAAUACCGGAUAGGAGCUCCUGCUGCAUGGUGGGGGUUGGAAAGUUUCGGCGGUUGGGGAUGGACUCGCGGCUUAUCAGCUUGUUGGUGGGGUAGUGGCUUACCAAGGCUUUGACGGGUAGCCGGCCUGAGAGGGUGACCGGCCACAUUGGGACUGAGAUACGGCCCAGACUCCUACGGGAGGCAGCAGUGGGGAAUAUUGCACAAUGGGCGGAAGCCUGAUGCAGCAACGCCGCGUGCGGGAUGACGGCCUUCGGGCUGUAAACCGCUUUCGCCUGUGACGAAGCGUGAGUGACGGUAAUGGGUAAAGAAGCACCGGCUAACUACGUGCCAGCAGCCGCGGUGAUACGUAGGGUGCGAGCGUUGUCCGGAUUUAUUGGGCGUAAAGGGCUCGUAGGUGGUUGAUCGCGUCGGAAGUGUAAUCUUGGGGCUUAACCCUGAGCGUGCUUUCGAUACGGGUUGACUUGAGGAAGGUAGGGGAGAAUGGAAUUCCUGGUGGAGCGGUGGAAUGCGCAGAUAUCAGGAGGAACACCAGUGGCGAAGGCGGUUCUCUGGGCCUUUCCUGACGCUGAGGAGCGAAAGCGUGGGGAGCGAACAGGCUUAGAUACCCUGGUAGUCCACGCUGUAAACGGUGGGUACUAGGUGUGGGGUCCAUUCCACGGGUUCCGUGCCGUAGCUAACGCUUUAAGUACCCCGCCUGGGGAGUACGGCCGCAAGGCUAAAACUCAAAGGAAUUGACGGGGCCCCGCACAAGCGGCGGAGCAUGCGGAUUAAUUCGAUGCAACGCGUAGAACCUUACCUGGGUUUGACAUGGAUCGGGAGUGCUCAGAGAUGGGUGUGCCUCUUUUGGGGUCGGUUCACAGGUGGUGCAUGGCUGUCGUCAGCUCGUGUCGUGAGAUGUUGGGUUAAGUCCCGCAACGAGCGCAACCCUUGUUCACUGUUGCCAGCACGUUAUGGUGGGGACUCAGUGGAGACCGCCGGGGUCAACUCGGAGGAGGGUGGGGAUGACGUCAAGUCAUCAUGCCCCUUAUGUCCAGGGCUUCACGCAUGCUACAAUGGCUGGUACAGAGAGUGGCGAGCCUGUGAGGGUGAGCGAAUCUCGGAAAGCCGGUCUCAGUUCGGAUUGGGGUCUGCAACUCGACCUCAUGAAGUCGGAGUCGCUAGUAAUCGCAGAUCAGCAACGCUGCGGUGAAUACGUUCCCGGG